rnacentral:lncRNA from 1 species
AUCUUUGAUUCCCCGUUUCUACGGAUCCUUCAACAUCCUUCAAAAAUGUCAAAUUAAAUCCGACAGCCAAAUAUAUCCGCACCACCGUCAUCAGCUUCACCGACGUCAUCUCCAGCAUCGCCGGUUUGAUAGUUUCGAAAGAAGAUGGGAGGGGAAUAUUUUGAUUCCCCGUUUCUUCGGACCCUUCAACAUCUUUCGAAAAUGUCGAAUCAAAUCCGUCGGCCGUUAAGAUCAACGCCACCAUCAUCAUCUUCGCCGCCGUCAUCUCCAACUUUACCGGUUCGGUGUUUUCGAAAAAAGAGGGGAGGGGAAUCAAAGAUUCCAUAUUUCUUCGGACCCCAAAUUAAAUCAAACGGAGAUUU